rnacentral:rRNA from 1 species
AUUGAACGCUGGCGGCGUGCUUUACACAUGCAAGUCGAACGGCAUCACGGGUGCUUGCACCUGGUGGCGAGUGGCGAACGGGUGAGUAAUACAUCGAGACGUACCAAGUAGAGGGGGAUAACUAAUCGAAAGAUUAGCUAAUACCGCAUAAUCUCUGAGGAGGAAAGGUGGGGACCAGCAAUGGCCUGUCGUUACUUGAGCGGUCGAUGGUUGAUUAGCUAGUUGGUGGGGUAAGAGCUUACCAAGGCGAUGAUCGAUAGCUGUUCUGAGAGGAAGAUCAGCCACACUGGGACUGAGACACGGCCCAGACUCCUACGGGAGGCAGCAGUCGGGGAAUAUUGGACAAUGGGGGCAACCCUGAUCCAGCAACGCCGCGUGAAUGAAGAAGGCC